GGCCUGGGCAGCGGCAAACCGAAGGCUGUUGGAAGCUGCGGCGCGACUCCGGGCAACGGACUGGAAAAGGGGCGCGGAGACAGCGGACGAGCAGCGGGGGGACUUGCGCCGAUGAAGCCUCUCGCCCCUGCCGAAAACGGAGGUCUCAAGGGCGUGCGUCGUGCCAAGGCCAGGUUCUGGAAGCUUGCCGGGAGCGUCACGAAAGGACGCCCAUCUCUCCCUUCCUUCUCGUCUGCAACGGCGCUGGCGGUCUGCGCGCCACCUUCGCUGCACGUUCCCUCUUCGGCCUCGUCCACUGCCGUCUCCGCUUUGCUCUCGUCCGCCGGCUCCGUCGCCUGUAGCUCAGCGUCCAAGUCGCCAGGAACGAAGGCGGCGAUCGGGCCAGUGUCCCCUUGACGGGCACGCGAACACAGUGUGAGGUUCUCAGACAAGUGCUGCAUCUUCGCCGCCCGAUCUUCGCCCUCGUAGGAACUGAGGACUGACUCUCCAGCACUGGCGAGGCGGCUACGGUCGCCGCUUGACAGGGUCUCUCGUGGCCACACGCCUGGAUGCCACGCCGUGGGCGUCACCGGGCGACUGCCAGGCCUUCGUUGAGACGCGUCGGACAACUCCGUCGCUGCCGCCGGGGACGCGCUUGCCUCGGGGUGUUGCGCAUCUUCUGUUUGGUCGGGACCAGGCUGCGACUGCGGCAGAGCAGAAGCGGGCGCAUCCUCUUGACCUCCGGCGCUCUCAGAAGCCGCGUCGAUGUGAGUCGGAAGGUUCGCGGUACUGCGUCUGGACAGGGCUGGUGCUCCGCCCGCCCCGCCCUCAAGUUCCGUGGCCCGUGUAAGCAGUGGGAGCGGUGCCGGUGGAGGGGUUGGAGACGGCGUCGUUUCCGAUGGCCCAGCGGAACUGCAGUUUAUCCCGUCUUCGCGUUUUGCUCCUUCGCUGUGGUUCGAGGCAGGUCGAGACCUCUCCAGCGCUUCCGUCGGGCGGGGAGCCGUCUCUCGAGUGAGGCGCGGUGGCUUCGCGCUUGAGUCUUCAGACGAGUGUCGCGAGUCCUGGAGAGUGCUGGCGCAACGCCGUCCCUCUCGAACCCCGUUGUCGCCUUGGUCGUCUCCGCGUUCUUGGCCCAAGCUCUCGAUGCGCUCAAAGAGCUCUGCGAGGUUCUCUGUUGAGCCAUGGCGAGAGGAGCGUGGAGACUCUCUGCGCUGUUCGCACGGCGAAGUGUCCGAAGGAGCACUGUUUUGCGUCUCGAAGGCUGGUGACCUCAGCGGCACGCCGCUCCUCUCUUCGCUGGCGCUGUCUCCUCUGGCAGGCGCACGCCCCUCAUCUGCAUUCGCUUCACUUGCGGGUUCGAGACGCUCGCCAUCCACACUCCGAGACGUUUCCCCGACGCCAAAUUCCUCACGUCUUUCCUCUCGAACUUGUUCGGGCUCCAACUUUCUGUCAGGUCUGCUUCCUUCCUGCGCUUCUGAACUGCCCUCCAGGUCGUCUCUUCCGCCGACCUCUUCUUUUCUUGCGCGGCUUCGUUUGUUGUCGUCUUCAUCAGUGACAGACGGCGCCAUCUCCUCCUCUCCUGAAUGUCCGACAGCGGCAUGCGGACUUCGUCCCUCUCGCUCUCUCUCUCCUUUUUGUUCCUCUUCGUGAUCUGCAACGACUUCGCUGGCCAAUGCCGGGUGGGCUCGCGGACCCGUUUCUUCGAGCCCUCUGUCUUCGUCUCCUUUUUCUUCUCUUUCGAGAGCUUGUCCCUCCUCCUGGCCUCUCCCUGAGUCCGCUGCGUCCGUUCCCUUGUCCCCACCGUUCUUCUCUUCUGGUGUCGCUUGUGGCCCCUCUGCUUGUUCCACUUCCUCCCCUGUCUCCUGCGUGGCCACUUUUCGCGAGGCGGCGCUAUCCGCCUGCGGCGCGUCGGCUGUCUCCGCUCCCAGGGCGUUCGUUCCAGGCUCAUCGCGGCUCCUCGCUGCCUCCUCAGAUUUUGACGGUUUCGCAGGCAGUGUCGGCCCGGACGCACGUUUCCUGAAGCCCGAGUCGCGACUUCUGUUCUCACGAGGCGCGUCCGUUUUCCGCCGCAUUUGGGUCGUGCUUGCGGCCAGAGGUUUCGGGGGGAUCUCUCGAGUCUCCGUGGUGGAGCCCCCGGCUGCCGGCGCGCGCUCGCCUGCUCGUUUCUUCGACAGUUGCACAAACACUUUCUCCUUUCCUCGCGACCGCGGGAGGAACAGCCCUCUGUGCGAUCUGGCGUAGGCGCUUCCACUGCGCGGGGCUCGACGAGAGCCGUGCGUUCCGCCUCCCGGCGUCGAAGCCGCAGACACUCCGUCCCGGCCUUCUCCGUCGAUGCUCGGCUUCGUGUCUGCUUGCUGCCUAGGGGAACAGCUGCCUGGCGAAUGCAAGAAACUGACGCUGCCACAGUGCGAGCUGCCGCUUCCUGAAAGCGCUGGAGUCUGCGAAAACGAGGUCGCCCUGGACAGCUUCUUAGGAUUCCUACCUGCAGGAUCAAGAGCGGGGGUGGCUAGAAGACACAUUUUCUCGGAGAGACACGGCGCCCCAGAGCCAUCGCCUCUUUUCCUUCUUUGUUUGUUCAGUGCAUGAAUCGUCCGUUCCCGAAGUUCGCCAAUACUCAACGGCCGGUCUGCGAUCCACGCAUCGCUACUUGCCCCAUCGGUCCCUAGCCCACAGUGAUCGUCUUCGCUGUCGUCUUCUCCGCGUCCAUGCGUCGGCAACCCCCCUUCAGGCGACGACCCACACUCCCCCCGGGGUGCUCCACCGCCUGGCUGUAGCCCCUCUCCCGAGUCGGCUGCAUGCGACUGGGAAGGGUCUGAGACUCGGGGUUCGCCUCCCACGUCCCCCCGACACUUGGGCGCUCCGCGCAUUCCUCCCCCUUUGCGUCGGAUGCCUUCCUCGCUUCCCACAGGCCGAGGCGGAUCACUGGAGCCUCCAGUUCGGAACUCUUCUCGUGGGUCGAUGCUGACUGGCGGGCUGCGACUGCCCCCAUAUCCAGAGAGUGCGGCGGGUCCCCCCGAGUUUCCCGAGGCGCCAGGGUGGCCGGGGAGCGGGGCACAAGAAGCACCACUUCCCUUGAAAGACGCGGUACCACCAACCUGUGAAUUUGAAGCGGUGGGAGUGGUGCACAUGGUUCUUCGGCUUGGCGUACCAAUGGGAUGUCCUGUCCCGGUGCCUGGGGGCCUAAACGUGCUGGGAGACAGAAGGCGAGGCUCCGGCGAUGGCGAAGCGAAUCCCUGACCCCUGGAGCCUCCUGGAGCCCAGUUCCCGCUGUGCGGAGCGCCGGGCAAGGGUGGAGGGCCAGGCGCUGUAGGAGAGUCGACGUCGUUGGAGACUUCGGGUGGGGCGGGGGACCGCGCCGCGGCGAGCAGGUUGCCUUGGUUCGCCAAGAUAAACUUUUCGAGAUACCAAAGGAGAGGGAGAAUGUUUCUUGUUUCUCCACUGCCGCAGGAUCCUUGAGAAGACGCCCCGUCGGGCGCCCCGUGGGAGCAAUCGCGACGGGCGGUUGGCGAUGCACCGCGAGAGCCUGCGACUCCAGUCUGUCUACUGGCGACGGCGGCGCAUUCCUCUGCUGUCCCCGGAGGUGGAGGCUCGUCACAGCAGACAGGGCCUUUCCAGAUCUGGCCAACGAGGGUUGUGGCUUCGGUUAGAAUCUCGUGCGUUUGGGCGAGGCAGUGAAGUUGGUGCUGAACGAGGGCAUUUUUACCGGCUGUCGCGAACAGCAUUUUCGAGAUUUGAGCAGCCUCGUCACGCAGCGACGCGUCUGUUACCUGCAGAGCAAUCGCCUCGUGCUGAGCAUGUUGCUGAAUGUGCGACUCGAGCUCCCGUGUUUUCGCUUCCACUGCCUCCAACUCAAAGUUCAAGGUGUUCACGUAGGUCAUGAUGC
rnacentral:lncRNA from 1 species